CCCUUUGUGACAUACCUAUAACUGUUGCUUCGGCGGGUAGGGUCUCCGCGACCCUCCCGGCCUCCCGCCUCCGGGCGGGUCGGCGCCCGCCGGAGGAUAACCAAACUCUGAUUUAACGACGUUUCUUCUGAGUGGUACAAGCAAAUAAUCAAAACUUUUAACAACGGAUCUCUUGGUUCUGGCAUCGAUGAAGAACGCAGCGAAAUGCGAUAAGUAAUGUGAAUUGCAGAAUUCAGUGAAUCAUCGAAUCUUUGAACGCACAUUGCGCCCGCCAGCAUUCUGGCGGGCAUGCCUGUUCGAGCGUCAUUUCAACCCUCAAGCUCUGCUUGGUGUUGGGGCCCUACAGCUGAUGUAGGCCCUCAAAGGUAGUGGCGGACCCUCCCGGAGCCUCCUUUGCGUAGUAACUUUACGUCUCGCACUGGGAUCCGGAGGGACUCUUGCCGUAAAACCCCCCAAUUUUCCAAAGGUUGACCUCGGAUCA
rnacentral:rRNA from 1 species